rnacentral:tRNA from 1 species
GCCAGUGUGGUGUAGUGGUUUGAAUACUGGAUUAUGACUCUAGAGAUCAGAGUUCAAUUCCCAGUUUAGCCA